GGCUGCCAGAGGGGAGUCGGUCGAAGGCUGGGUGUCUGCCCGGGCCAGUGACACACCACCCCCGGAUUCAGUCCGCCCGCUAAGGUGGGUGGGGAUGGAGGCGGGAGCAAAGGUGGAAGUAAACACCGCACUGCCACUCAUUUUCAGAACCUACAAUCCGCCUUAUUAUGCUGAUUAUCCAGAGGAAAAAUAUUGAGAUCCAGAUUAUCCAAAGUCAUGGAUUCAAGGUCAGUCUUGAAACUGAGCAGUGAAGAAAUCACAUCCCUUGUCCAAGGUUACAGAGCUGAUAGCCCACAUCUACACCUUGAGGAAUUACUGGCAUGAUGGGACAAGGAAGAGGUUGGAGAAAUGAAUUUGGGAGAGAUCCGGAAGGCGGGAGGAAGAUGUGUACUCAAUGGAGGAGAGAGGGACGGAGAGCUCCAGUUUCUCCUGCUAUCUGCAGAAAACAGAAAACACUGGAAUUAGAAUUUACCAGCUCCUUUAUAUGUCUUCAAAAUGACUUCUGGUUCAUGGUUUGAAUUUUAAAGUACCGUCACAGACCUCACAUCACAGACCUCAGAAACAGCCUACUGUAAGGAUUGAAGAUAUCUGGGAACUUACGCCACUUUCAAUCUCUGUUGAUUAGGAAUUCUAUUGCUCUAAGUAUCACGCCUUUUUCUUCCUCUUACCAAAUGCUUUUGCAGUAAUAAAAUCAAUUAUAUUCUCAGAUUUAACACCCUUUUGUUAAUUAAAUUGUGUAAAAAGACUUUAUAGAUAUGAGCAUUGUUUUUCACUAUAUAAA